rnacentral:sRNA from 1 species
UGGCGAGAAGGGAAGUGUGUUUCCAUAGAA